GAUAACCUUGGGAAACUGAGGAUAAUACUGGAUAGGCAAUUAUUCCUGCAAUGGGUUUUUGUUUAAAUGUUUUUUCGCCUAAGGAUGGGUCUGCGGCCGAUUAGGUAGUUGGUUAGGUAAUGGCUUACCAAGCCGUUGAUCGGUACGGGUUGUGAGAGCAAGAGCCCGGAGAUGGAACCUGAGACAAGGUUCCAGGCCCUACGGGGUGCAGCAGGCGCGAAACCUCCGCAAUGUGAGAAAUCGCGACGGGGGGAUCCCAAGUGCCAUUCUUAACGGGAUGGCUUUUCAUUAGUGUAAAGAGCUUUUGGAAUAAGGGCUGGGCAAGACCGGUGCCAGCCGCCGCGGUAACACCGGCAGCUCUAGUGGUAGCAGUUUUUAUUGGGCCUAAAGCGUCCGUAGCCGGUUUAAUAAGUCUCUGGUGAAAUCCUGUAGCUUAACUGUGGGAAUUGCUGGAGAUACUAUUAGACUUGAGACCGGGAGAGGUUAGAGGUACUCCCAGGGUAGAGGUGAAAUUCUGUAAUCCUGGGAGGACCGCCUGUUGCGAAGGCGUCUAACUGGAACGGUUCUGACGGUGAGGGACGAAAGUUAGGGGCGCGAACCGGAUUAGAUACCCGGGUAGUCCUAACCGUAAACGAUGCGGACUUGGUGUUGGGGUGGCUUUGAGCUGCUCCAGUGCCGAAGGGAAGCUGUUAAGUCCGCCGCCUGGGAAGUACGGUCGCAAGACUGAAACUUAA
rnacentral:rRNA from 1 species